UACGUAGGCAGCGAGCGUUGUUCGGAAUUACUGGGCGUAAAGAGCGUGUAGGCGGCCCGAUUAGUCCGCUGUGAAAGUCCAGGGCUCAACCCUGGAAUGCCGGUGGAUACUGUCGGGCUAGAGUCCGGAAGGGGCGAGUGGAAUUCCUGGUGUAGCGGUGAAAUGCGCAGAUAUCAGGAGGAACACCAAUGGCGAAGGCAGCUCGCUGGGACGUGACUGACGCUGAGACGCGAAAGCGUGGGGAGCAAACAGG
rnacentral:rRNA from 1 species